CCUGAUCCAGCCAUGCCGCGUGUGUGAAGAAGGCCCUCGGGUUGUAAAGCACUUUCAGCGAGGAAGAACGCCUAGCGGUUAAUACCCGCUAGGAAAGACAUCACUCGCAGAAGAAGCACCGGCUAACUCCGUGCCAGCAGCCGCGGUAAUACGGAGGGUGCAAGCGUUAAUCGGAAUUACUGGGCGUAAAGCGCGCGUAGGUGGCUUGAUAAGCCGGUUGUGAAAGCCCCGGGCUCAACCUGGGAACGGCAUCCGGAACUGUCAAGCUAGAGUGCAGGAGAGGAAGGUAGAAUUCCCGGUGUAGCGGUGAAAUGCGUAGAGAUCGGGAGGAAUACCAGUGGCGAAGGCGGCCUUCUGGACUGACACUGACACUGAGGUGCGAAAGCGUGGGUAGCAAACAGGAUUAGAUACCCUGGUAGUCCACGCCGUAAACGAUGUCGACCAGCCGUUGGGUGCCUAGCGCACUUUGUGGCGAAGUUAACGCGAUAAGUCGACCGCCUGGGGAGUACGGCCGCAAGGUUAAAACUCAAAUGAAUUGACGGGGGCCCGCACAAGCGGUGGAGCAUGUGGUUUAAUUCGAUGCAACGCGAAGAACCUUACCUACUCUUGACAUCCUGCGAAUUUGGUAGAGAUACCUUAGUGCCUUCGGGAACGCAGAGACAGGUGCUGCAUGGCUGUCGUCAGCUCGUGUUGUGAAAUGUUGGGUUAAGUCCCGUAACGAGCGCAACCCUUGUCCUUAUUUGCCAGCGCGUAAUGGCGGGAACUCUAAGGAGACUGCCGGUGACAAACCGGAGGAAGGUGGGGACGACGUCAAGUCAUCAUGGCCCUUACGAGUAGGGCUACACACGUGCUACAAUGGUCGGUACAAAGGGUUGCCAACUCGCGAGAGUGAGCCAAUCCCGAAAAGCCGAUCUCAGUCCGGAUCGGAGUCUGCAACUCGACUCCGUGAAGUCGGAAUCGCUAGUAAUCGUGGAUCAGAAUGCC
rnacentral:rRNA from 1 species